rnacentral:rRNA from 1 species
UACGUAGGGGGCAAGCGUUGUCCGGAUUUAUUGGGCGUAAAGGGCGCGCAGGCGGCUCUGAAAGUCAGAUGUGAAAGCCCCGGGCUUAACCUGGGAAUUGCGCUUGAUACUCUGAGACUGGAGUACGGGAGAGGAGAGUGGAAUUCCCAGUGUAGAGGUGAAAUUCGUAGAUAUUGGGAAGAACACCAGUGGCGAAGGCGGCUCUCUGGACCGUAACUGACGCUGAGGCGCGAAAGCGUGGGGAGCAAACAGG